UUUUUACUUUGUUCAGUUUUGAGAGGUCUAACUCUCAAAACGAUUCAUCUCUAUUCAUUAGAGGUCAAUCACAUUUUGUUCUUUGAAAACUGGAUACUGUUUAAAAAGUAAUUAAAGUAAGAAACCGAGAAAACACCGCGUUUUAAAUGAGUUUUUUAAUUAGUUCUUAUCGUAAGAUAAUGAAUAAAAUCAUUGACUAACAUCAUGGGAUUCCUUCGGGAAUACCAUCGAUAGAAAUUUGAUUGUAAUGCGAACGAAUUCGAGGAAAUGAGUGUUUGAGAAACGGAGCGUACUAACGUACGUGAGUAUCACAGAACACGAAAUUGACGAAGAAGUCGGAAGUAGUACGAGCAAAUUAGGUUAAGUUAAUAAGGGCGCACGGUGGAUGCCUUGGCACUAAGAGCCGAUGAAGGACGGGACUAACUCCGAUAUGCUUUGGGGAGCUGUAAGUAAGCUUUGAUCCAAAGAUUUCCGAAUGGGGGAACCCAGCAUUUUUUAUAGAAUGUUACUGCUAGCUGAAUACAUAGGCAGAGGG
rnacentral:misc_RNA from 1 species